UGUUUCAAAAAUUGAGAUAAAGAUUUUGGAAAACAUAGAUACAUGUACAUCAUCGCUUAGCACUUUGAGAAAGAGAUAAUAAUAGAAUCAUAUUUACCCCAAACUAAUUCAUGGGUGAUUGAUGAAAACAUCAACCAUUGUUUCAUUUCAUAAAGCAACACUGGGUGAGCACUAAAUAGACGGAACCAAAUGAUGUGAGGUUCAUGAUGGGUUCAUCGUUUCCAUUCAGUUUACACACCAUACGAAGAGGAAAAAGAAGUUAUUAAAAAAGUACAAGCGAUGCCGUCAGUUGGAUAUAAAGAAACGAGAGCUAGUACGUAUUACCACACCACCACAAUUUAACCCGAUUAGGCAAACAUCAAGAGUCCUGCAAAGACCGAAUCAAUCGGUACAUGUCUCGCUGAAAAACUUUAUAGUUGAAUGUUGUCUCCAUUUCUUGUGAUAUGAGUUUCAAGUUUUGAUCUUUUUUAAAAUCGUCAUCAAUCAUUUCAUCAUUUCAUCUUUUUGUUUGUUUGUUUUUUUAAUUUUUAAACAAUAUCGAACUUUAAUUACUGGAGUUCAGCUGACUGGAGAUGUAAAAGUCUUUAUCGUUUUUUGUUGACAAUCAUACUCGAAAAAAAAGAAAUCAAACCAGAAUUGAACACGAAGUAUGACCCGAAUUGCUCUAGUACACGUGAUGUCGUCAUGGCAAGAAAUUUUGGUGAUGUGGGUCUACUAAUCCAAUAAUAGCGACUUCCUUACUUAUUAAGAGACUUGAAGGCAGUUCAAAAUACCUGUGUCUGCUCACAUAUGCAGCUUCCGGAAUCUGUUUUCAUCCUACAUAUUCUUACCCUUCUACUACUCAUUCACUUUAUGUUUACCCUAGCAAAAUGAAGUAACAUUGUUUAAAAAGAAUUGGUCGAUAGCAUCAAGACUAUCAAGCUUAAAUACAUUCAGUAACGAAAUUAGUCAUAUAAAGUCUUUCGUAAUACACAAAUUUUUUAGCGCACACGUUAUUACUGCUUAAAGCUCGUUUCUCUUCAUCCAUUUUACACAGGUAGUGUGAUCACGAAGAAUUACUAAUAAAACAUUGAGGCGUUAUGAGAUCUAUGUCGCUUCGCAAAACUGUAUCUUAGUACGACAUAAAGUUGCUUUUGGACUUGAACGUUGACUAAAUAAAUGUGUUGCCUGAUUGUACAUGAUAUAUUAUCAGCUUUGUCAAGGGAAAAACCGAGACCGAAGAAAGUUAAAACUGAGAGAAAAAUUCUAG